CUACGGGGUGCUCCAGUGAGGAAUAUUGCACAAUGGGGGGGACCCUGAUGCAGCAACGCCGCGUGGGGGAUGACGCAUUUCGGUGUGUAAACUCCUUUUAUAUGUCAAGAAAAUGACGGUAGCAUAUGAAUAAGCACCGGCUAACUCCGUGCCAGCAGCCGCGGUAAUACGGAGGGUGCAAGCGUUACUCGGAAUCACUGGGCGUAAAGGACGCGUAGGCGGGUUGGAAAGUCAGGUGUGAAAUCCUACAGCUUAACUGUAGAACUGCACUUGAAACUUCUAAUCUAGAGUAUGGGAGGGGGAGAUGGAAUUAGUGGUGUAGGGGUAAAAUCCGUAGAUAUCACUAGGAAUACCUAAAGCGAAGGCGAUCUCCUGGAACAUUACUGACGCUAAGGCGUGAAAGCGUGGGGAGCAAACAGGAUUAGAUACCCCCGUAGUC
rnacentral:rRNA from 1 species